CGGGGGAAUAUUGGACAAUGGGCGAAAGCCUGAUCCAGCCAUGCCGCGUGAAUGAUGAAGGCCUUAGGGUUGUAAAAUUCUUUCACCGGGGACGAUAAUGACGGUACCCGGAGAAGAAGCCCCGGCUAACUUCGUGCCAGCAGCCGCGGUAAUACGAAGGGGGCUAGCGUUGCUCGGAAUUACUGGGCGUAAAGAGUACGUAGGCGGACUGAUUAGUUGGUGGUGAAAUCCCAGGGCUCAACCUUGGAAC
rnacentral:rRNA from 1 species